rnacentral:misc_RNA from 1 species
UUAGCAACCAUCAAAGCAUAACAGAAAUCCUGUCACAAAUCCUCGUCAACCAGUAUUAACCUGUAAACCAAUUUAAAUCACCCCCAAAUAUAAACUUCAAAAAGAAAAAAAUAAUUUUUAUCCAAACUCCUAACUAAAUGGCACAACCAACUAUAGUUCAGCUAACUGAUUGCUCAUGAUUCCCAUAUCCAUUGGAGGAUGCACCAUGAGCUGCUCCAGCACCAUACAUGGAAUCUUGGCUCUGCGAUGCACCAUACCCAUAACCACCGUAAUUCUGCCUUCCAUAAUAACCCCCAUUCCAUUGACUACCAGAGUCGGUUCUAAACUGCUUGUUUGCUGGAUUGCGACCCCAGGAAAGACGAACUGUCUGAGCUCCAAUAACUGUUCCAUUCAAUUUUUCUAUUGCAUCCUCUGCUGCACUCCUUUCUGAAAAUUGUACAAAACCACAUCCUUUUCCAGCUGGAAUUUUCACAGAAACAACAUUGCCAAACUGGCUAAAUGACUGCCUGAGCUCUUCAUCAGUAACUUCCGAGUCAAGUCCUCCCACAAAAACUGUUGUGUUGGAUAAAUCACUAUCAGUCUGGGAAGUCUGGGUUGCAGCACCAUUUGAUGCAUGUCCACCUGCUAAUAUUACAGCUUGUGAAAAAUAUUGUUGCAUUGGUGAUGGUUUCUUUGGAGUAGCAACACCAAUACGCAUAGCCCUGCUAGAACAAUAUAUGCCAUUCAUUUCAGUCAUGGCUCGCGACCUCUCACUUUCGUCAUCAAACCUAACAAAGCCAUAGCCUUUUGAACGACCUGUGUUCGAAUCUAUUACUACUUUUGCACCUUUCACAGAUGGAUAUCUACUGGAGAAUGUGUCACGCAACAUUGUAUCAGUGACAUCAGAGGCCAAAUCUCCUACAAAAAUCGAUAAAUCAGACCCGGAGCCAGCACCAGCACCAACAUCUGCACGCUUUUCACCAGAGCUAAAGGCUGACCAAUUUAGGCGGAAAGGUUGCUCUGCAUUUGGCAUCAUAGUGCCAUUGUAGCUCUGUAGGACUUUUUCUGCAGCUUCGUGGGUAUUGAACUCAAUAAACCCAUAACGCUCUGAUUGACCAGUCUGCUUAUUUCGAAUGACCUUCACAGAAAUAACCUCUCCAGCUUGAGCGAAGCAUGUAUGGAGAUAACCUUCAUCCAUCCACUGUUGAAGAUCGCCAAUCCAGAUCGUCCUGUUAUCUUCGCUUGCGUUUUGCUGAAUCUGAAUCAUCUGCUGGUGUUGUUGAUGAUAGUAGGGCAUGUACUGCUGACCAUACAUCAUCUGUUGCUGCAUUACCAUUGCCGCCGCUGGUGGAUACUGCUGCAUCGCCAUCCAUUGCUGCUGAUACUGCUGCAUCGCCAUCCACUGUUGCUGUUGUUGCUGCUGCAACUGCUGUUGUUGUUGUUGUUGAUUCAUGUCCCCAUUCAUCUUUCCACACUUCCCUCUUUCUCUCUCUUAGUAUCAGGAGGGUAUGGGUUUUGUUUUAGAGAGAGAGAAAAUGAGGCAGG